rnacentral:rRNA from 1 species
CCUACGGGUGGCAGCAGUGAGGAAUAUUGGUCAAUGGGCGCAAGCCUGAACCAGCCAAGUCGCGUGAGGGAAGACGGCCCUACGGGUUGUAAACCUCUUUUGCCGGGGAGCAAGCCUGAGCACGUGUGCCCGGGCGGAGAGUACCCGGAGAAAAAGCAUCGGCUAACUCCGUGCCAGCAGCCGCGGUAAUACGGAGGAUGCGAGCGUUAUCCGGAUUUAUUGGGUUUAAAGGGUGCGCAGGCGGGCUGUUAAGCCGGCGGUAAAAAUUCGGGGCUCAACCCUGUCGAGCCGUCGAAACUGGCAGUCUUGAGUGGGCGAGAAGUAUGCGGAAUGCGUGGUGUAGCGGUGAAAUGCAUAGAUAUCACGCAGAACCCCGAUUGCGAAGGCAGCUUACUAAACUGUGACUGACACUGAUGCUCGAAAGUGUGGGGAUCAAACAGGAUUAGAUACCCGAGUAGUC